rnacentral:rRNA from 1 species
CGAAAGUUAGAGGUUCGAAGGCGAUCAGAUACCGCCCUAGUUCUAACCAUAAACGAUGCCAGCCAGCGAUCCGGCUGUGUUCCUCAAAUGACACGCCGGGCAGCUUCCGGGAAACCAAAGCUUUUGGGUUCCGGGGGAAGUAUGGUUGCAAAGCUGAAACUUAAAGGAAUUGACGGAAGGGCACCACCAGGAAUGGAGCUUGCGGUUUAAUUUGACUCAACACGGGACAACCUACCCGGCCCGGACACAGGAAGGAUUGACAGAUUAAGAGCUCUUUCUUGAUUCUGUGGGUGGUGGUGCAUGGCCGUUCUUAGUUGGUGGACUGAUUUGUCUGGUUAAUUCCGUUAACGAACGAGACUCUAGCCUACUAAAUAGACGUUCCGAUUAUUUAUUUUUCGGACGUUCUUCUUAGAGGGACAAUCGGCGCUUAGCCCGAUGAGACAGAGCAAUAACAGGUCUGUUAUGCCCUUUGAUGUCCGGGGCCACACGCGUGCUACAUUGAAGGAAUCAGCGUGUGCUUUCCCUGUCCGACAGGACUGGGUAACCCGUUGAACCUCCUUCGUGCUGGGGAUAGGGGCUUGUAAUUAUUCCCCUUGAACGAGGAAUUCCUAGUAAGCGCGAAUCAUCAGUUCGUGUUGACUAAGUCCCUGCCCUUUGUCCACACCGCCCGUCGCUACUACCGAUUGAAUGAUUUAGUGAGGUCUUCGGACUGGCGCUCGGAGCGGCCUUCGGGUCGCGCCGGCGUGCCGGAAAGAUGACCAAACUUGAUCAUUUAGAGGAAGUAAAAGUCGUAACAWGGUUUCCGUAGGUGA